CCCAGAGUGCUAUGAUUACAGGUGUGAGCCACCAUGCCCAGCCCAUUUUACUUAUUUUUGUACUUUAUAUAACUAGAAUAUAAUAUCAUACCAUGUGAUGAUUAAUCUUAUGUGUCAACUUGACUGGACCAUGGGGUGCCCAGACUCUUGGUUAAAUGCCAUUCUGAGUGUGUCUGUGAGGGUAUUUUUGGAUGGGAUUAGCAUUUGAAUUGUCAGCCUGACUAAGCAGAUGCUUUCCCCAUUGUGGGUGGGCCUCAUCCCAUCAGCUGAAAGCCUGAACAGAACAGAAGGCUGACCCUCCCAAGAGUAAGAAAGAAUUCCUUGGCCUGACUGCCUUUGAGCGGGCAUAAUUGAUUUCUUUUUCCUGCCUCUGGACCCAAAUAACAACUCUUCCUGGGGCUCGAACCUACCCGCCUUUGGAAUGAAACUGCACCAUCGGCUCUCCUGGAUCUCCGGCUUGCCAACUGCAGAUCUCAGGACUUCUCAGCCUCCACAGGUUAUAACAUUGAUAAAGUUGAAGCAUCCAGAGGACUAUGCAUCCCAUUUUCAACAUAGCUGGGAUGGCAGAAUUCACACCUCCUCAAAUGAGGACAAUUAAAAACCACUGAACUAGUAAAUGCCAAAUUCCAUCUACACUCUGAAUGGACCUGAACAACCACCUGAAUCCAAGCCAGUAGCCGGAGGUAUGCUCACUGAAUGGAUGAUUUCCCUAAUCUUGAGGGUCUCACUAUGUUGCCCAGGCUGGUCUUGAACUCCUGG